rfam:Gossypium raimondii Chr06_contig_1170, whole genome shotgun sequence.
AGGGCAUCAAUAAGGAGAUACUAAAAGAAUUAUCCUUGCACUUUGAUUGUCGCACAAGAAAUAAAAUGGGCAUGUUCUCUCUGAGAUCUUU